rnacentral:rRNA from 1 species
AUUGAACGCUAGCGGCAGGCCUAACACAUGCAAGUCGAGCGGAUGAAGGGAGCUUGCUCCUGGAUUCAGCGGCGGACGGGUGAGUAAUGCCUAGGAAUCUGCCUGGUAGUGGGGGAUAACGUCCGGAAACGGGCGCUAAUACCGCAUACGUCCUGAGGGAGAAAGUGGGGGAUCUUCGGACCUCACGCUAUCAGAUGAGCCUAGGUCGGAUUAGCUAGUUGGUGGGGUAAAGGUCUACCAAGGCGACGAUCCGUAACUGGUCUGAGAGGUUGAUCAGUCACACUGGAACUGAGACACGGUCCAGACUCCUACGGGAGGCAGCAGUGGGGAAUAUUGGACAAUGGGCGAAAGCCUGAUCCAGCCAUGCCGCGUGUGUGAAGAAGGUCUUCGGAUUGUAAAGCACUUUAAGUUGGGAGGAAGGGCAGUAAGUUAAUACCUUGCUGUUUUGACGUUACCAACAGAAUAAGCACCGGCUAACUUCGUG